AUGAUGGCUGUACAACUCUGCCAAUAUGCUGAAAGCCGCUGGCUUGCUCUCGUUAUGUGGGUGAAGUGCAUGAAAAUUCCAUAUUGAUAUGGCUAUUUUUAUUUAUUUAUUUUUUUUGGUUUUUCAAGACAGGGUUUCUCUGUAUAGCCCUGGCUGUCCUGGAACUCACUUUGUAGACCAGGCUGGCCUCGAACUCAGAAAUCCGCCUGCCUCUGUCUCCCGAGUGCUGGGAUUAAAGGCGUGCGCCACCACGCCCAGCUGGCUAUUUUUUUUUUUAAACGAACAAUCCCAGUUUGGUUUAGUCACCUGGAAGAUAUUUUCUGUGGUGUCGGACAGCCCUCCUGCCUUUGGACAAGCAUGCCAUGGUAUUUGCAUACUCUCCAGUGGUCUGUUUAAUGAGCAUAUGAUGACCCCAGCUGCAGGGCAGCCUUUGCUUCAGACCGGUGCACUAUGUGUAGGGGACAAGAAGCACUAUUGUCUGCUUGGGGCCAGCCCUGGCCCAUUGACAGGGUGGCCAAGAGGAGAUAAGGGGCCGGUGAGGGAAGUGAGUCAGGUGUAGUGGUCAGGGGAACCUUGCAGCUCUGACUCACUAGGAAUCCGAUUGCUGCUUUAUUUAUACACGUCUCACAGAACAAAGACAGACUAAUGAUCAUCCAGGAGCACAGAUUAGAUUAGUUUUCUCUGAUUUUUUUUUUUUUUUCAUUACACGUUCAGGGUUACAAGUUCAGUCACAAUUAGAAAGUACUCAUAGAACUGAUUUUAUUUUUAUUAUUAGCCCUAAACUUCAGUUCAAAUAAUCUACGGAAUGUCUCCACUAAAGCAAGCACAUUUAUUAUUUGCAGCCUGCUUUUAGGAUGGCAGCACUUGCAGGUUUGUUUGUUUGCUUGGUUGUAUUUUUUUUUUUUAGAUUUAUUUAUUUAUCAUGUAUACUGUGUUCUGCUUGCAUGUAUGCCUGCAGGCCGGAAGGGCACCAGAUCUCUCAUUACAGAUGGUUGUGAGCCACCAUAUGGUUGCUGGGAAUAGAACUCAGGACCUCUGAAAGAGCAGCCAGUGCUCCUAACCUCUGCACUAUCUCUCUAGCCUAAUAUCUGCAGUUUUAAAAGCAUCUCAGACACACAGAAAACAUCUGAGCCAGUCUUUUUAUGAACAGCAAAUACAAACAGCUAACUCCUAUUGUGAACCAUUUCACCAUCUCACUUGAAAGUAGGAAAAGGUUAUUUUAGUCAAUCUAUCUUAUUUAUUGACGUCUAUUCCUCCUGGGUAUGCUCUGUACAGCCCCCUUUCUUUAAACUACAUUUUCAGAGAGCUCUAAGCAUAUCAUAAAAAGAAGCAAGGAUCUGUUACUAAUUCUCUUGGUCAGAAUUGUCAGCUAUCUCUGUUUACCCCUGUGCCAAUCAUACUGUUUGAAUUUGCUUAGCUGCGGAUACCCCAAGAAGAUUCCUGGAAUCAUGGCCUCAUUAUAAAUGCCUAGCUUUUGCUUAUCUGAGUGUCUUAGUCAGGGUUUCUAUUCCUGCACAAAACAUUGUGACCAAGAAGCAAGUUGGGGAGGAAAGGGUUUAUUCAGCUUACACUUCCACAGUGCUGUUCAUCACCAAAGGAAGUCAGGACUGGAACUCACACAGGGUGGGAGCUUGGAGGCAGGAGUGCAAGCAGAAAUCAUGGAGGGUGCUGCUUACUGGCUUGCUUCUCUUGGCUUGUUCAGCUUGCUUCCUUAUAGAACCCAGGACUACCAGCCCAGGGACGGCACCACCCAUAAUGGGCUGGGCUCUCCACCCUUGAUCUCUGAUUGAGAAAAAGUCUUACAGCUGGAUCCCAUGGAGGCGUUUCCUCAAGGGAGAUUCUUUUCUCUGUGAUAACUCCAGCUGUGUCGAGUUGACUCACAAACCCAGCCAGUACACUGAGCUUAUCAGAAUCUUCAAGGCACAAGGAAGACUUCCAAAUAGUGGCUAAAGCUAGUUCCAUAAAACCAGGAAAAGACAUAAAACGAGUCACAAUGCAGAAAGUCUCCAAGAACACAACACACAGAAACCAAAACCUAAAACUGAGAGACAGACAGAACGACAGCAAGCUCAGCAUUCCACUCAGCUUGGCUGGAACUGUGUCAAGCAGCUUGCUAGCUUUAUGACUUUUGCUAUUUCCAGGGGAUGUGGCUGUUUAAACUGUCCCUGCCCUGUACCGCUAGAGGCCCAGCGUGUUACUACCAGCCACUUUGUUAAAAGUUUCAACUUCGACUUUCCUGUAUCCCACAGAAAUUAAAAUAGGAAUUAGUAAAUGAACUGUCUACUCACAGUUUGACCGCAGACUCCGCCUUUCCUCUAGCAGGGUCACAAUGGUACAGGAAAGGCCAGGCAUGGUGGGUGCAUGGCAACCCCAUGAGGGCAGUGCAGAAAAUGCAUAGCAAGUUUCAGGCCAGCCUGGGCUAACUGAGAUCUCCAUUUUUCAUGAUUGUGAUCCCUCCCAAACAUAAAACCAAUUAUGUAGAAAAGAUUAAAGAGAAGCUAGGAAAUAUACACAUUAACUUAUCCAGUCUGUAGGGGAAGGGUACUUGGGUCCCAGGCUGUUCUCUAUUAACAGAAUUUUAAAGGAUCUUUUAUUUACCUUGUAACAUUUUCAUACAUAUAAAUGAGAUCUCUUGAUGAUAUUUAUUUUUAACUCUCUUUCCCACUCCCCCAAGCAUCUUCAACAUAUCCUCUCCCUCUUCGUGGCUCCUCCUCCUUUUUGUAAUUCACUGAAUCUAAUUAGUGCUGCUUGUUAGGAUGUUGAUAGAUCUUGGCUUGAUACUGUGUAGGUCAUCAUUGCUACAGAAUGUUCAUGGCCACCUCAUGGCCAGAAGUCAGCAUCUCAUAACAUUCGUCUUGAUCUUCUGGUUGUUACAUUUUUAAGAAAAACUUUAAAAAUAUUUAUUAGCUUUUAGUUUAUGUGUGUACAUCAUGCAUGCAUGGUUGCCCAUAGAGGCUGGAAGGGGGAUUCCUGGAGCCAGAGUGACAGGGCUUGUGAACCACCUGAUGUGGGUGCUCAGCUGGGAACUGAACUCCAGUCCUCUGGAAGAGCAACGUGGGAUCUCUCCACUCCAUGGAUCUUACACUCUUUCCCUUUCCUCUCCUUGAUGUUCCCUGAGCGUUGAGGGUGGGGGUGGGGAGGCUGAGACAGAUACUUCAUUUAAUGUUGUACACUCAUAGGUCACUUAUUCUCAGCUCGCGGACUAGUUGUGAGUCUCUGUACUAGUUGCUGCUCACUGCAGAAGAAGCACCUCUGGCCAAGGUUGAGAGAAGCAUGAAAACCCAACAUUUUAAAGGCAAAACCCAACAUUUAAAAGGCAGUCUGAUAACAGGAUCAUUUAGCAAAACAGCAGAAGGUCCCUGACAGUCCUGUAGCAUGUGGGAAUUGACACAGAGCAAUGCCGCUGAUAACUUUUUUCCUACAGCAGCCUGCAUAGCAGCUUUUGACACUAUGCAAACUAGCAAGCAGGAGGGAAGUUUUCAUGUCUGCUCCAACUUGAUUUUCUAUGUCUUGUGAAACCAACUUGUUAGAAGUUUUAAAACUGUGUAGAGGAAAAUAGUGAGUAUUAAAGACUGGCAUUUUUAAUGAACCAGACCAGGUAGCUCUUUGUCUCCAGGUUAGUUUCCUCAAUGUAGGGUGGGAUGCUUUUGGUAUCUUUGCUUGGGAGGGCAGCUUCAACUCCCAACUCCCAAGAUCCAGUUAAACACUCUAACUUAGAAAGUGAACAAGAGUGAUGUUUUGUAGCUGAGGGGAGGGCAUGUGCCUCCUGCCCUUACCAUAUAUCCUCUUCAGACGCGGAUUUAUGCCCAGUUCCCAUCUAUGUCAGAGCCAUCACCCCCUCCCCAUAGCAUACAACCAGUGAGUUUUAUUUCUCUAUACCACAGCUAGUAGCUCUGAGUGAAUGAGGGGAUCAAGUACGUUGGUCAAGGACAUUUUUGCCCCUCAGCCUGCUGAGUGGUUGGCCAAAACAGUGUUCUUAGCUUACAAGAUCCCUGUCUUUGUGCUUUGGGUCAGCAUGGUUACAGGACAGAACUUAUCUUCUAAGCGGGUUGAUUCACUGUGAGCCGACAGGCCAGUGGAAAGGAGACUAGAGCUAUGGCGCACUCUAUGCUCUGAUACGAACCAGGAAGGAUGCUUCUGGAAGACUAUGCAUCUCUAUGGGGUUCUAGGCUCACACUGCCUAGUAGUAGCUACAGCCACACCCUUCUUAAGUAGACUAUAGGCGGGUCCAAACAGGAGGAGGGCUGCUCAGAGCACUUGGAGCUUGAGCGCUUCUGGGAGCCGCAAGCCUACGUGGACCACACAGUGAAGGCCAAGGGACAUCCAUCUCCUCUCCUUCAGUCCAGUUCCGAAUGUUCACCAAGGCUUUCCUCCCGUCUUGGCCCCUCCUCUGCUCCCCAUAGGCCCCGCCCCUCGUCCCACCUCCAGUCCCACGCACACUCACUCGCUCCUUUCUACACAACCCCGCCUUCUUCCCCGCCUCUGGCCCCGCCCCGCCCGCCUCUGCUAAGGCGCCUAAGGCCAGGUCUCUGGAGGACCCUGAGCUAGCCAUGGCGUUCCCUGGCCCGCGGGUGCUGGUGGUGGGCAGCGGCAUCGCGGGGCUGGGCGCUGCGCAGAAGCUCUGCAGCCACCGGGCUGCUCCACACCUGCGGGUUCUGGAGGCCACCGCCAGCGCCGGGGGCCGCAUCCGCUCGGAACGCUGCUUCGGUGGUGUAGUGGAGCUGGGUGCACACUGGAUCCAUGGGCCCUCCCAGGACAAUCCUGUCUUCCAGCUGGCUGCAGAAUUCGGGCUCCUGGGGGAGAAAGAAUUAUCGGAAGAGAACCAGCUUGUGGAUACAGGAGGGCACGUGGCCCUGCCCUCCAUGAUCUGGUCCAGCUCUGGAACAAGUGUGAGCCUGGAGCUGAUGACAGAGAUGGCCCGUCUGUUCUAUGGACUGAUAGAGCGGACCCGAGAAUUCCUGAAUGAAUCUGAAACCCCAAUGGCCAGUGUUGGAGAGUUCCUGAAGAAGGAGAUAAGUCAGCAGGUGGCUAGCUGGACCGAGGAUGAUGAGGACACCAGAAAGCGCAAGCUGGCUAUCCUGAAUACUUUCUUCAACAUAGAGUGUUGUGUGAGCGGCACCCACAGCAUGGACCUGGUGGCUCUUGCACCGUUCGGGGAGUAUACAGUGCUGCCUGGGCUGGAUUGCAUCUUGGCUGGUGGCUACCAAGGACUUACCGACCGCAUACUGGCUUCCUUGCCCAAGGAUACGGUCGCUUUUGACAAGCCGGUGAAGACCAUUCACUGGAAUGGGUCCUUCCAGGAAGCUGCUUUUCCAGGGGAGACCUUCCCCGUAUUGGUGGAGUGUGAAGAUGGUGCCCGCCUGCCUGCACAUCAUGUCAUUGUCACAGUGCCAUUAGGUUUUCUUAAAGAACACCAAGAUACCUUUUUUGAGCCACCACUGCCUGCCAAAAAAGCAGAAGCCAUCAAAAAACUAGGCUUUGGUACCAACAACAAAAUCUUCUUGGAGUUUGAAGAGCCCUUCUGGGAGCCCGACUGCCAGUUCAUCCAGGUGGUGUGGGAAGAUACAUCGCCCUUACAGGACACAGCCCUCUCACUCCAAGACACCUGGUUCAAGAAGCUCAUUGGAUUUUUGGUCCAGCCUUCUUUUGAGGUGUAUCAUGUGGCUGCUUUCUCUGCGUGUGUGUCUGUGAGCCUCAUGCCUGCAGAGCUUCAGAAGCCGAGAGCGGGUGCCGGAUCCUUUGUAGCUCCAGGUCUUCACAUGUGCUCUGUGGGUUUAUUGCUGGGCUGGAGUCGGAGUUUAUGGAGACUCUGUCAGAUGAAGAAGUGCUUCUGUCUCUAACCCAAGUACUCCGGAGAGUGACAGGAAACCCACAAUUGCCAGCAGCCAAGAGCGUACGAAGGUCUCAGUGGCACAGUGCCCCGUACACCCGAGGUUCCUACAGCUAUGUGGCUGUGGGCAGCACUGGCGAUGACCUAGAUCUGAUGGCUCAGCCCCUCCCUGAAGAUGGAACUGGCACCCAGCUCCAGGUACUCUUUGCUGGGGAAGCCACACAUCGGACAUUUUAUUCUACCACACAUGGGGCCCUCCUGUCUGGCUGGAGAGAAGCUGAUCGCCUCGUUAGUCUGUGGGACUCACAGGUGGAGCAGUCGCGGCCCAGGCUGUGAGUGCCUGCUGCUCUGCUCCACCACUUGGGCUGACCAAGCUCUGUUUGGUUUGAGGUUUGGGGAUCUUACUGGUAGCUUUAAUUUUGGGGAAGUGGUUUUGUUUUUCUUAUCUGUUGGAGUCUGGCUUGGUCUGAUCAUGGAUGCCCCGUUAAGUGUUGUACGCAUAAAGCAGUUAACAUUG